AGACUAUCCAUUUACCAGUGAGACAUCCUGUAUGGAGGAAAGGUUAAAGUAAUCUGAACACAUGGAAGCCUACAUCAGGUAAUUGAAGACUGGGUUAUUAAAAUGCUGUAUGAUUAGCUGUAUCAGCCGAAAAGAAAGAGGAUUUUGAAUGGUGCGGUUGUUCUUUAUGCAAAGCUGAGACGCGACGCCUUCCAGACAGUGAGAGAUGGCAAGCCCUAAUAAUACAGAGCUGUACAAUGGUUCUGACAGGCGAGCAAUAAAGCAAUCAGGGUCCUAGGCAUUCCAAAUCUCUUUAACGCCCACCCUCUAACAGUCUGAGAGAUGGGCGGCUGACCUGCAGGCUGUCAAUCAUGGCGAAUACCUGCUGGAGCCUGAUCAGGGAGAACCGAGGGCACCAGUCUAUCAGAUCUGUUUUCACACUCCAGACACUAACAU